rnacentral:lncRNA from 1 species
AUCAAUGUAUUUAUUAUGAAUAUACAAGAGUGCAGGAUACAUAUGCAUUACAAUAAAUAUACCAAUGUUAUUGGUGCAACAUAUCAUUCAUAUCAGUUUGACUAUAGAGAACACAUCUAUGAAGAAUAUUACACCAUAGCAUUUACAUCAAUUCAACCAAAGAAAAAGAUCUUGUGAAUAGUAUUACAUUUUUCAAUCUGUCAAUAUAAACUACGGAUAUUGCGAAGUAAAAUCUCCGAACUUCUUCUUCAUCCAUCCGAGAAUUUAGCGGCAACUUAAUUAUCCUUCUUUUGAAUCUGUAAAAAAAGUGGAUCUAGCAGUUACGUUAUUAAAUGUACACAAAUAUAAUUUGGAAUAUGGAAGAAAACACUUCAACUUACAAAAGCUCAAGGCCAGGCAAUUACGUAUUCUGAAGCAAAAGCAUCACCAAUUCUUUUGCAAUGAGAAACUUACUUUACUAACUCCUCAUUAUCAAGAAUAGGUUCAUCUAUGCACACAAGUGUAAAUUAAGCACCUAACUCAAUAUCACCAGCCUUAGUUUCUAGAUCAGUACUCUGAAUAGUAGCAUAAGAAACAUUAUGCUGAUUUGGAUAUGUUAAAGUCUUUAAAACUACUCCCUCCGUCCCAUAAUAUAAGCGCAUUUUUUACACUAGUGUAGUGUCAAGAACGCACUUUAUAUUAUGGGACAGAGGGAGUACUUUGGAAGCAACCUACAUUAUGAUCAAUAUUACCAUUCAGCGACAUUGAUAAUAGAAUUUGUAUGAACAAUAUGUCAAUGGAUGGUCAUAGCAUGACCAUUCACUUCGUUAGGGAUACUCAUUCAUGUUGCAAGUGGGACUAAUAGCGGGAUGCCCACAUCUGCACACAUGUGUUAUGCAGGUGCUCAUGGGCAGCCCGCAAUCAAGCAUGUUGCAUUUUCUUGCCCACAAAAUCUCACCACAUGGCAAUGUGCCACAAAAAGAAGAGUUCAGACAAUUCUACUUAGUUCUUAUACAAAUCAAGACUAACUUUUGUAUCUGGACAUUAGUUGAACACAUCAACACAAACAACUGGCAAUCAGGUCACUACAUGAUCAAGCACAUGCAAAGUGGCCCCUAGUGCAGAACUUUCAGAGUGGCAGAGCAAAUCAGAGCAAAGCAUCAUCAUACUAUUGACAAAUCAGGAGCAAAGCAUAUGUUCUAUGUUGUAUGUGUGUGCUUGUUGCUGUGCUGGGCAUGUGUGUGUAUGUGCUUUUUAGUACCUAACCAAAGUACUCGCAAGAUGUUUUCCAACAGUAGGCAUUCCAUGGCAAAGUCAUAAAGAAUAUACACAUUCUAUACGAAUUAUCAACGAGCGCGUCCAUAUGACUCAAUAAAUAUAUACCUGAAAACAGUAGUCAUCAUUACAGUGGCUUUAAGCAACAUGCGACUGAUAUGCAUAAACCCUUGAGGCGUUGACAGUAACCGAGCUCCCCUCAAAGAUUCUGUAAGAGUAGAAUGAUAAAGAACUUGAGAUAGAAAUAGAUGUACAGACAAAAGCUGCAGACUAUAAGCACGCAGUAAAACCACACAUUCAACAAAUUUGGAAUUAAAUGUAGAACUUAUUUUGGACAUAAUGUAACCAGGAUGGAUACUUGGUAAAGGUUGAUGGUAUCUUACAUUUACCUAAAUAAAAAGGUAGCCAGGAUGGGUACUUGGUAAAAGGUAAUAUCACCCACCGGAUUAUAUCAAACUAGCAGAUGAGAUUAAGAUACAAGAAAAAUAAGAAUUAAAGUGGAAAGGAAUAGACAAGCUCCGGCUGUAUUUUCAUAGUGAUAAUUGGGAUAUACUACACUAAAAUGAUCAUUCAUUUACUAGAACCCUUACAAUGAUAAGCACUAUGUAUUACACAUUUACACCUACAUUCUCUGUUAGUAAAGUAGAUGUCAAUGUUGCUCUGCACAAUCUCUAUUACCAAUCUGACGGACGCAGUCUGCCGAGUGCAACACUAGGCAAAGGGGCAAGCCUUUGCUGAGUUUGACACUCGGUAGACCUAUUUAGCUGAAUUAAAAAAAUCGCACAGGUAUUUGGGUAUGUAUACGGGCCAGUCUAAGAGUAUACGAGUAUGUACGGAUAUGUGACGAGUAUUCGGGUAUGUACAUCUCCACCAUGGGAAGGAACACGUACUACUAUUAUUACCACGAGAAUCAAUUAGCAGCGGGCAUGUAUCCUGGACGUCGGCCUCACAUCUUGCUCCAUUUACCACUAGUACAGAAACAAGCAAGCAGCCUGCUGGAUGGAUUAUUGUAGAAGUUAGCUUACAUCUGGAUCGAUUCCCCGUGGAUGCAAGCAGAUGACGAGGACUGGUGGCUCCUAGCGCGGGAGGCGCGCACGGUCCAUGCGAUCGUUUUGUUCAAGCCUCUUCAAUUCUUCAUGGCCACCAGAUGGAGGGAUGGCUGCCGACGGCGCCGGCUGGAUCUGCAGAUGGCUCUGGCGGCUGGGCGCUCCUCAUGGCCGCCUCCUCGGGCCUCCUCGAGCCUGGUGGGGAGGAGGGAACGGCCCCGGGGUUCAGGGUAGCGUCGGCGACCUACAGAGAAAAGGCGCGAGCGGCGGCGUCAUGACUCAGGCCUGGUACAAUGGGA